GAUGAACGCUAGCUACAGGCUUAACACAUGCAAGUCGAGGGGAAACGAUGAGAGAGCUUGCUCUCUUAGUCGUCGACCGGCGCACGGGUGAGUAACGCGUAUCCAACCUGCCUCUGACCAAGGGAUAACCCGUCGAAAGUCGGACUAAUACCUUAUGCAGUCGUCGGAAGUCAUCUGAUGACGACGAAAGAUUUCAUCGGUGAGAGAUGGGGAUGCGUCUGAUUAGCUUGUUGGCGGGGUAACGGCCCACCAAGGCGACGAUCAGUAGGGGUUCUGAGAGGAAGGUCCCCCACAUUGGAACUGAGACACGGUCCAAACUCCUACGGGAGGCAGCAGUGAGGAAUAUUGGUCAAUGGGCGUAAGCCUGAACCAGCCAAGUAGCGUGCAGGAUUACGGCCCUAUGGGUUGUAAACUGCUUUUAUGCGGGGAUAAAGUGAGGGACGUGUCCUUCAUUGCAGGUACCGCAUGAAUAAGGACCGGCUAAUUCCGUG
rnacentral:rRNA from 1 species